UCAUUUUUGACAAACUUCCUUAUAACAUUAAAAUAGCUGCAUACUAAACCAUCAAGACAUGAGGAUCAAAGAAUGCAAAACUAAUUGUACAAUGCCCUACUUGUAGAAAAGUAGUUUUCUACAAGCUUUUGUUCCCAAGAGCUAACAUUUCUGAACUCUUCCCAUGUCUCCCACACCUCUUUCCAGGGAAGGAGGAUUGAUGGAUUUGGAAGGAAAACCUGAGUAUACACACACAGUCUCCUUCCUUUUCAUCUCUUGCAAACAUGCUACCUUAUGGGAGAAUUUAUUCCCAAUUUAUCCAUGUGUGACUCUUACAUAUCUGAAAAUAACUCGGUUUGCAGGGAAAAUCCUGAGCAUUGGAGGAGGAGAAGUGUUAGUGAUGGCAGUGGCAGCCCAUUUGGAGUGGCUGCUGCCAUGAUGCCAGCUGCAGUGGGGGAGGCAUGGCCUGGGUUGCUUGCUCCAUAGAGCCAGGGGGAACUGGGAGCAUUCAGGGGGAACUGGGAGCAUUCAGGAGCACCAUCCUCCUGGGUGCAACUUCAGUCACUAAAGCCAUGGCUGUGGACUUAGGAAUCCCUGUGCUUUUGGGGGCCAGGAGCAGGCAGGAGCUCCACCCUCCUGGGCACAGCUGCAGCCACCCAAACUGAGGCAGACCCAAGCAUCUCUGCACUCUUGGGGGCCCAGGAAGGCCCCUCCUGCACCCACAGAUUAGGAAGUACCAACUUCCACUGCUUGGUCUUUCCCCACUCCCAUACCUGCUCCAAUCUUGGAGCAAAGUUGAGGCCAAGUCCAGGUGCUGUUGCAACACAGCCAGGUGUGUUCACACUUGGAGUGGCACCGACACACCAGCCCACUGGUGCUUCAGCCCUUUCUGGAUUUUGUUUGUUGAUGAGGAUGAAAGGAAGGCCGAGGGGGUCUGAGGCUGGUUCAGCACUGGUCUGUAGGCACCUGUUGGCACAAAUAGCCUUGGCCAUAAACACCAGAAGGAGGCAGGCAGGCUCCUGGGCAGAAAAGGAUGGGUCCCCAGUUAAGCCUCAUCUUCAAGCUGGGGAAAGCCUGAAGCCUGGGGACUAGGCUUCCAGCCCCACUGACUGGAGUGGGAACUUAUGGUGCUUUAUCCAAGCCUGUCCAUGGCUACCCAUGAACCAAUCAGCACACACUUCCUCCCCUCUGAAGCCCAUAAGAACCCCAGACUCAGCCAGACUUGAGUAGAUGACCAGAUGACCUGUCUGUGGAGAGGAGCUACCAAAUGCAGGAUCUCCUCUCUGCUGAGAGCUGGGCAGAAAUCGUGACUACCAGCUGCAGAGAGUAGUUACCCAGUCCAGGGUCUCCUUUCUGCUGAGGGCUGGACAGAUGUCAGAACUACUAGCUGUGGUGAGAAACUCCCCACUCCAGGGUCUCCUCUCUGCUGAGACCCAGGCAGAUGUUGGGACUACCAGCUUUGGAGAGGAACUACCCACCCCAGGGUCUCCUCUCUGGUGAGAGCUGAACAUUUGUCAGGACAACCUGCCUGUGGAGAGGAGCUACCCACUGUGGACCUCAUCUCUGCUGAGAGCUGAGUACUCAUUGUGACACCCUUCCUUUGGAGAGGAGCUACUCACUGCAGGUCUCGUCUGAGCUGUUCUCUCACUCAAUAAAGCUCCUCUUUGCCUUGCUCUUAUC
rnacentral:lncRNA from 10 species